GAUGAAGAACGUAGCGAAAUGCGAUAAGUAAUGUGAAUUGCAGAAUUCAGUGAAUCAUCGAAUCUUUGAACGCACAUUGCGCCCGCCAGUAUUCUGGCGGGCAUGCCUGUUCGAGCGUCAUUUCAACCAUCAAGCCCCAGGCUUGUGUUGGGGACCUGCGGCUGCCGCAGGCCCUGAAAACCAGUGGCGGGCUCGCUAGUCACUCCGAGCGUAGUAAUACAUCUCGCUCAGGGCGUGCUGCGGGUUCCGGCCGUUAAUAGCCUUAUUUACCCAAGGUUGACCUCGGAUCAGGUAGGAAGACCCGCUGAACUUAAGCAUAUCAAUAAGCGGAGGA
rnacentral:misc_RNA from 1 species